AGUGAACGCUGGCGGCAGGCCUAACACAUGCAAGUCGAACGGCAGCACAGUAAGAGCUUGCUCUUACGGGAGGCGAGUGGCGGGAGGGGGAGGAGAACAUCGGAAUCUGCUUUUUCGAGCGGGCUCACACAGGGGAACAUACGCUAAUAACCCAUACGACCUACGUGUGAAAUCAUCGGAACUCAGGACAUUACGCGAUUGAAUGAGCCGAUGUCGGAUUAGCUAGUUGGCGGGGGAAAGGCCCACCAAGGAGACGCUCAGCAGCUGGUCUGAGAGGAAGAUCAGGCACACGGGAAGUGAGACACGGUCCAGACUCCUACGGGAGGCAGCAGUGGGGAAUAUUGGACGAUGGGCGCAAGCCGGAUCCAGCCAUACCGCGUGGGUGAAGAAGGCCUUCGGGUUGUAAAGCCCUUUUGUUGGGAAAGAAGAGCAGCAGGUUAAUACCCCGCUGUUCUGACGGUACCCAAAGAAUAAGCACCGGCUAACUUCGUG
rnacentral:rRNA from 1 species